rnacentral:rRNA from 1 species
GAAUUCAACUCCUACGGGAGGCAGCAGUGGGGAAUUUUGGACAAUGGGCGCAAGCCUGAUCCAGCCAUGCCGCGUGCGGGAAGAAGGCCUUCGGGUUGUAAACCGCUUUUGUCAGGGAAGAAACGCUCUGGGCUAAUACCCUGGGGUAAUGACGGUACCUGAAGAAUAAGCACCGUCUAACUACGUGCCAGCAGCCGCGGUAAUACGUAGGGUGCAAGCGUUAAUCGGAAUUACUGGGCGUAAAGCGUGCGCAGGCGGUUAUGCAAGACAGAUGUGAAAUCCCCGGGCUUAACCUGGGAACUGCAUUUGUGACUGCAUAGCUAGAGUGCGGCAGAGGGGGAUGGAAUUCCGCGUGCAGCAGUGAAAUGCGUAGAUAUGCGGAGGAACACCGAUGGCGAAGGCAAUCCCCUGGGCCUGCACUGACGCUCAUGCGCGAAAGCGUGGGGAGCAAACAGGAUUAGAUACCCUAGUAGUCCAGGCGUU